rnacentral:misc_RNA from 1 species
ACGUAUCCACGUAUAAACCAUUGCGAACUGUGCCCUUUAACCUUUGAGGAAAAGUUGAGUUAGUUUGUAGUUAGAACAUUUCAAAAGCAGUUGUUGUGAUUAACUGUGUUCUGGCUGCCAUGAUUGAGUGAUUUCGGUCUCUCUUUCAUACUUGCUUCUCUUCAAAGUUGUAUCCAAUCACUACUUAUUAACCAUUUUAACCCCAUCUUUAUAAACUUCUGAACUAACUUAUUUUAUACUCCCCGUAACAACGGAGAUAAAAUUCAUUACGAAACAAAAGAACAACUCUUAGCAACGGAUAUCUUGGUUCU